rnacentral:rRNA from 1 species
CGUCUAUAUACGUAUAGCAUAUCAAUAAGCGGAGGAAAAGAAACUAACUAGGAUUCCCUCAGUAACGGCGAGUGAAGCGGGAAGAGCUCAAAUUUGAAAUCUUCAAGGUUCUACCUUGACGAAUUGUAGUUUAAAGAAGUGUUUUCUGUUGGAGUUUUGGUAAAAGUUCUUUGGAAUAGGACAUCAUAGAGGGUGAGAAUCCCGUAUUUGACCAUUAUUUCCAACUUUGUGAUACACUUUCAAAGAGUCGGAUUGUUUGGGAAUGCAGUCCAAAAUGGGUGGUAAAUUUCAUCUAAAGCUAAAUACUGGCGAGAGACCGAUAGCGAACAAGUACCGUGAGGGAAAGAUGAAAAGAACUUUGAAAAGAGAGUUAAACAGUACGUGAAAUUGUCAAAAGGGAAGCGUUUGACACCAGUGUUGUUUUCUCGAAAAUCAAUUAAAAAUGGCAUGAUUUUGUGUUGUAUUGACCUUUAUCAAGCUUUCUUCACUUUUUUCAUUGUCUUUUUUAAUGCACUUUUCGUUUAACAAGUCAACAUCAAUUUCUUUUGUUGUAAAAGAGUCAUUGGAAGGUGGCUUUCCUUUCGGUAGAAAGUGUUUAUAGCCUUUGACUUCUGCAGUCGGAGAGAUUGAGGUCUGCAGCGUAGAUCCUUCGGGGUUAGAUACAUUUGUGCUAAGUUAUAGCCUUUCAUAGACAACUUGUUGACUAUGAUCAGUCAUGUAGCUUACUCGCUUAUGUUAUUUUACCUACGCUUAGGAUGUUGACGAUCAGCUGAGCGCG